rnacentral:tRNA from 1 species
GCAGUCGUGGCCGAGUGGUUAAGGCAAUAGUCUAGAAAUCCAUUGGGGUCUCCCCGCACAGGUUCGAAUCCUGUCGACUGCG